GGAUUCUUCCGUUGGUCAGGCUAACAAGUCUGUACUAGCGUGUAGAAUCUCUACCUUCUGGGGAACCAUCAUGUUAUUAAUUUAGCGUGGUGGGAAACCAGGACCUUUACCUUGAAAAAAUUAGAGUGUUCAAAGCAGGCUUACGUCUGAAUACAUUAGCAUGGAAUAAUAAAAUAGGACGGUGGUCCUGUUUUGUUGGUUUCUGAAUCACCGUAAUGAUUAAUA
rnacentral:rRNA from 1 species